UACAACGAGUCGCAAGCUCGCGAGAGUAAGCUAAUCUCUUAAAGCCGUUCUCAGUUCGGACUGUAGGCUGCAACUCGCCUACACGAAGUCGGAAUCGCUAGUAAUCGCGGAUCAGCAUGCCGCGGUGAAUACGUUCCCGGGCCCUGUACACACCGCCCGUCACACCAUGGGAGUUUGUAACGCCCAAAGUCGGUGGCCUAACCUUUAUGGAGGGAGCCGCCUAAGGCGGGACAGAUGACUGGGGUGAAGUCGUAACAAGGUACC
rnacentral:rRNA from 1 species